UACAGAGGUCUCAAGCGUUGUUCGGAUUCAUUGGGCGUAAAGGGUGCGUAGGUGGCGCCGUAAGUCGGGUGUGAAAUUUCGGAGCUUAACUCCGAAACUGCAUCCGAUACUGCGGUGCUUGAGGACUGGAGAGGAGACUGGAAUUCAUGGUGUAGCAGUGAAAUGCGUAGAGAUCAUGAGGAAGACCAGUGGCGAAGGCGGGUCUCUGGACAGUUCCUGACACUGAGGCACGAAGGCCAGGGGAGCAAACGGG
rnacentral:rRNA from 1 species